rnacentral:rRNA from 1 species
CAGUCGCGCGGUAAUACGUAGGUGGCGAGCGUUGUCCGGAAUUAUUGGGCGUAAAGGGCUCGCAGGCGGUUUCUUAAGUCUGAUGUGAAAGCCCCCGGCUCAACCGGGGAGGGUCAUUGGAAACUGGGAAACUUGAGUGCAGAAGAGGAGAGUGGAAUUCCACGUGUAGCGGUGAAAUGCGUAGAGAUGUGGAGGAACACCAGUGGCGAAGGCGACUCUCUGGUCUGUAACUGAUGCUGAGGAGCGAAAGCGUGGGGAGCAAACAGGAUUAGAUACCCCUGUAGUCCCUGUCUCUUAUACA